GAUGAACGCUGGCGGCGUGCCUAAUACAUGCCAGUCGAGCGAACAGACGAGGAGCUUGCUCCUCUGACGUUAGCGGCGGACGGGUGAGUAACACGUGGAUAACCUACCUAUAAGACUGGGAUAACUUCGGGAAACCGGAGCUAAUACCGGAUAACAUGUUGAACCGCAUGGUUCAACAGUGAAAGACGGUCUUGCUGUCACUUAUAGAUGGAUCCGCGCCGCAUUAGCUAGUUGGUAAGGUAACGGCUUACCAAGGCAACGAUGCGUAGCCGACCUGAGAGGGUCAUCGGCCACACUGGAACUGAGACACGGUCCAGACUCCUACGGGAGGCAGCAGUAGGGAAUCUUCCGCAAUGGGCGAAAGCCUGACGGAGCAACGCCGCGUGAGUGAAGAAGGUCUUCGGAUCGUAAAACUCUGUUAUUAGGGAAGAACAAAUGUGUAAGUAACUAUGCACGUCUUGACGGUACCUAAUCAGAAAGCCACGGCUAACUACGUG
rnacentral:rRNA from 1 species